UGUUUCUGCUUCCAUGAGAUUCAAGGCUCGUCUGUUACGACAGAUACACCUGCUAAUCUUUAAACAAGGCAGCGAGAGGCCAGGAUUCUGUUUGGUCUUAUACGAGUGUCCUCUGGUUAUCUGGCAGGGUUAUUGUCUCAUCUGUUCAUUGUUCAUUCAAACAACAACCUCAUCUCCACACUCGGUAUGCAGCCAAGGUGCUAAUAACUAGCGAAUUCUUUAUUUAUAUUCUCGUUUCAUUUACAUUGCCAAUGAAGGAGCAGGGAACGUGAUGAAGAGUACGGUUGACCUGUUUUCAUAGAAAGGUCUCAAAAAAAGAAAGAAAAUAAAAUUGUACGCUCUCAGUGCUUAAAGAACGACUGCGCUUUUUUCAACUGAUCCCUUUGGAGUUUUGUUUUUUUGUUCCCAUGAACUGAGGGGGUGUUCAGGAGCACGGUUGGUGCCAAAAGUGAGAGCAGAAAAACAAAGGAAAUUUGCGAGUAAUGGCAUUUGGCGUGAACAGUCUAUUCCAGAUCAACGACGCUGAGAGGCACAAACAUGUUGUGGUAACCUCUGACAGUGAGCAGCUGAAACAUGAACACAACUAUACAAACCACAUUAGCAUUCUUGCUAAUACGUGUGUUGUGUUGAGGUUUUGUGCAUGGAUUAUUUGGAAUUUGGCGUCAGUUUAUUUUUCUGAACUGGACGUCACUUUCCUAAAACCAGACUCUAUUUAGAUUGACGUCUAACACUGAAAAACCCAACAGGAUUCUGGUCCCGGGUGAUGCUGGUUGUUAUUGUUGAAUUGAAACCAUAUGAACCAUACUAAUUUAAACCCAUGCAGAUAAGAUUUGAUCGAUUGUGUUGACAGUCUGCACUGUAUAAAUAUUUUGGUUGAGAAAUUGUGCCAGAUCAGCAGAUUUAGUUUUAGUAUGAUAUAUUUUUGCUUUUUUAGUUAAAAACACAUUUUUACAAUUAACAACAGUAUUUAAGCUCCAUUUGUGUGUUGGAUCAUUAUAGGUAGACCAUGCAACCCAUAUGUGGUCUGCUGGACACAUGUUGGUCCCACGGGACGGCUCUGGCAGUUGUACUUCAGACAACCUGCCCAUUUUAAACACAUGCUAACGUUAUGCCCGUUGAGCCCACAGUGAAACAGCAAUUUGUACACAAGCAACGUCGGCCUCCGCCACACAGGUUUACCAUGUAACAAUUUAAGAUUUUCUUUGUUUACCCAGACCGCCACACUCCAGAGGUUGCACACAGAACUGCAUUCAACAGGCGACCUCAGUGAGUCUUCUAAUGAUGCCUUAUUUUUCCAGGUCUGCUUGCAGAUGACCCUCAAGGAUUUUGGGGGAAAAAAAUGUUGAGGCAGAAAAAUGUACCGUUGUUUAAAGUUCAUUAUAUGCGACUGUGUACGUGUAGCAUUUCAACCAUCUUUUGAAUAUAACACAACUAUUUAAUGCCACUAUUUAACACAGGGGUGUCAAACACAUUUUCACCAUGGGAGGUACAUCAGCAAUACAGUUACCCUUGAAGGGCUACCUCUAAAAAGUACACUGUAUAGAUGUAAAAAAAAUAGCCUUUUUAAUGUGAUUUACUGUGUGAAGUACCGUAAAGUAACGUCACCUGUAAAAUUACUAUAUUGUAUAAAAACAAUUAAAAGUUGAGUUCGGUUAGCCUUAGUUAGCUCAAACACAGCGGCAGACUCUGUAGCCAACGAAAUCUACAUAUACAUUUUUGCCAGCAGAGAAAACACCCCAAGCAGUUCGAAAGUAUACUUCGUUGCCCACAGCUUAAUAAUCGGCAAACACCGUAAAGUACUCCGAGUCACGUACUUCAGUUUAAUCCAAACUUUCUUGUCACUCAGCUCCGCCCCCUCUCCUGAAUCAGUAAAGAUCCAAAACAAUAGCUUUAUUAUUCUUUUUAUCUCUAAUAUUACACACGGGUGCUACAUGCCGGAUUACAGUUAACAUUAAACAUAAUCUGAAAAUACAUUUUUUGUCGGAAAUAUCACUUUUACUCAGCCAGGACAGCGUGCUAACAGCAAACUCUUAAUGUUUCUUAUACGAGGUGGACGCUGGGAGCAUGACAACGAGGGCCACAGGCAACAAAUGAAGGGCAACGAGGCUGGAACCACCAUAUGUGAAGAAUAACCUUUGAAUAAAGGAGUGAAAGCAGCGAAUAGUCGUGUUCUUGUUACGGGGAAGGAGACCGCAGCAAACAUGGCGGUGUACUGUGUAUUUCUAUGGAUGUGUUAAUUUAACAGCCUGUUUUUUUUGACGUUUAGAAUGGCCGUUGAGUUGAGGAAUAAAGCGCUGUUGUCAACGGCGGCUCAGUGGGGGAAGGGGGAUGGAUGCUUGAGCCAGGCUCCGGCGGCCUGUCGGCGCUACAGCCCUGCUUCGAACAACAAAAACUGUCUCUGGUCCUCACUAAAAAAUAACGGUCAAGUCCCGUCUCCAUUUAAAAGCACACACACU